UGGGGAAUAUUGCACAAUGGGCGCAAGCCUGAUGCAGCAACGCCGCGUGAACGAUGAAGGUCUUCGGAUUGUAAAGUUCUGUUGUAGGGGAAGAUAAUGACGGUACCCUUUGAUGAAGCCCCGGCUAACUACGUGCCAGCAGCCUCGGUAAUACGUAGGGGGCUAGCGUGAUCCGGAUUUUCUGGGCGUAAAGGUUGCGGAGGUGGUCUUGCAAGUCGGUGGUUAAAGGCUACGGCUAAACCGUAGUUAGCAUCCGAAACUGGAAGACUUGAGUGUAGAAGAGGGAGGUGGAAUUCCAAGUGUAGCGGUGAAAUGCGUAGAUAUUGGGAGGAACACCAGUAGCGAAGGCGGCUUUCUGGACUGCAACUGACACUGAGGCACGAAAGCGUGGGUAGCAAACAGG
rnacentral:rRNA from 1 species